rnacentral:lncRNA from 1 species
UUCUAUCAGAACUCCGAGUCGGGACCGGACGGCGCGGCCGGGUCCCCGGGCCUCGUCGGAAUAUGACCCUCGGAGCUCCGAGGUGACCCCUCUCUGCGCGGCCGGCCUUGAUCGGCUUCUCAGCAUCCCGGCCCUGGCCCUGGCUCGGGAGAGCACCCACCUCCCCCAGGGCUUAAGGACCUUGGAGCCUUUCCAUCUCCUGCAGGGGGAAUAGGAGUAGAGAGUGCUGGGGAGGAAAA